UUCCUUUAUCUCCAAAGACUUCCU
rnacentral:siRNA from 1 species